GUCUAAUAAUCGACAUGCAAUAUGUAUCUUAAAUGUAAGAUUUUUUUUCUUUCCUUUUUCCUUUUUAAAACCCUUUCAUUUAUAUGUAUUCAGUUUGCUCUAAAAUGAAUUAACACCACCAGAUGGCAGUGUUUCCCACUAGCUAUGAUGGAAACAAUAUUCCUGGCUGUGCAAUGGAGGAUUUUUCCAGAUUUUUGUGCAUCACUAGGACAUUGACUUUCAUGUGUUGCGUCUUCUCAGUUUUCUCACUGUCAGAUGUGAACAUCAUCUCACAGGAGCUUGGCAGCACAGUGACCCUGCACUGUAACAACAGGUCGCUCGAUAAACUCAAUCAACUGAUGUGGAAAAGGAAUGGAGUUCGACUGUUCACUUACAGGCCAGAUGAGGAAAAAGUAGACCACAAUUUAGAAGUAAGACUGAAGGUGAAUAUGUCUACAUUGGAAAGCCAGUUGUAUGCCCUCAUUAUAGAGAAUGCCCAGGAUUCUCAUACAGGAAACUACACCUGCGAGAUGAGCACAAGGUCAGGAUUCUGGGAACAGAAGUGGAUGCUUAUAAUUACAGAGAAGGCUAGUAACUUUCAAAUACCUUUGACAGCUUUGGCAGCUGUUAUUCCCACUGUUUGUAUCCUGAUCUUUAUAAUUACUUGUAACAACGUCUGUAAACGGCGUGCAGCAAACGUCAUUCGGCCUCCCACUGCAGGAAAGGAGGAGACUAUUUACGAAAAUUGCCUGGAAAUUGCUGCUAAUCAGCAGAGACAUCUGGCUGGCGCACACUCACAAAGCUAG
ensembl:lncRNA uncharacterized LOC114426194